rfam:Triticum aestivum genome assembly, contig: Triticum_aestivum_CS42_TGACv1_scaffold_405727_5BL
AAUGUACUCCCUCCGUCCGAAAAUACUUGUCAUCAAAAUGGACAAAAAGAAAUGUAUCUACAUACAGAUACAUUCCUUUUUAUCCAUUUUGAUGACAAGUAUUUCCGGACAGAGGGAGUAACUA